AGAGUUUGAUCCUGGCUCAGGAUGAACGCUAGCUACAGGCUUAACACAUGCAAGUCGAGGGGCAGCAUGGUCUUAGCUUGCUAAGGCUGAUGGCGACCGGCGCACGGGUGAGUAACACGUAUCCAACCUGCCGUCUACUCUUGGCCAGCCUUCUGAAAGGAAGAUUAAUCCAGGAUGGGAUCAUGAGUUCACAUGUCCGCAUGAUUAAAGGUAUUUUCCGGUAGACGAUGGGGAUGCGUUCCAUUAGAUAGUAGGCGGGGUAACGGCCCACCUAGUCAACGAUGGAUAGGGGUUCUGAGAGGAAGGUCCCCCACAUUGGAACUGAGACACGGUCCAAACUCCUACGGGAGGCAGCAGUGAGGAAUAUUGGUCAAUGGGCGAUGGCCUGAACCAGCCAAGUAGCGUGAAGGAUGACUGCCCUAUGGGUUGUAAACUUCUUUUAUAAAGGAAUAAAGUCGGGUAUGCAUACCCGUUUGCAUGUACUUUAUGAAUAAGGAUCGGCUAACUCCGUGCCAGCAGCCGCGGUAAUACGGAGGAUCCGAGCGUUAUCCGGAUUUAUUGGGUUUAAAGGGAGCGUAGAUGGAUGUUUAAGUCAGUUGUGAAAGUUUGCGGCUCAACCGUAAAAUUGCAGUUGAUACUGGAUGUCUUGAGUGCAGUUGAGGCAGGCGGAAUUCGUGGUGUAGCGGUGAAAUGCUUAGAUAUCACGAAGAACUCCGAUUGCGAAGGCAGCCUGCUAAGCUGCAACUGACAUUGAGGCUCGAAAGUGUGGGUAUCAAACAGGAUUAGAUACCCUGGUAGUCCACACGGUAAACGAUGAAUACUCGCUGUUUGCGAUAUACGGCAAGCGGCCAAGCGAAAGCGUUAAGUAUUCCACCUGGGGAGUACGCCGGCAACGGUGAAACUCAAAGGAAUUGACGGGGGCCCGCACAAGCGGAGGAACAUGUGGUUUAA
rnacentral:rRNA from 1 species